UUGAAAUCUGGCCUUCGGGUCCGAGUUGUAAUUUGUAGAGGAUGCUUUUGGUGCAGUGCCUUCCGAGUUCCUUGGAACAGGACGCCUUAGAGGGUGAGAGCCCCGUACGGUUGGACACUAAGCCUCUGUAAAGCUCCUUCGACGAGUCGAGUAGUUUGGGAAUGCUGCUCUAAAUGGGAGGUAAAUUUCUUCUAAAGCUAAAUACCGGCCAGAGACCGAUAGCGCACAAGUAGAGUGAUCGAAAGAUGAAAAGUACUUUGAAAAGAGGGUUAAAUAGCACGUGAAAUUGUUGAAAGGGAAGCGUUUAUGACCAGACCUUUGCCGGGCGGAUCAUCCGGUGUUCUUCACCGGUGCACUUCGCUCGGCUUAGGCCAGCAUCGAUUUCGGCAGGGGGACAAAGACCAUGGGAACGUAGCUCUCUUCGGGGAGUGUUAUAGCCCUAGGUGUAAUACCCUUGCGGGGAUCGAGGUUCGCGCUUCUGCAAGGAUGCUGGCGUAAUGGUCAUCAACGACCCGUCUUGAAACACGGACCAAGGAGUCGAACAUUUAUGCGAGUGUUUGGGUGUUAAACCCUCACGCGUAAUGAAAGUGAACGGAGGUGAGAGCCCUCUUUUGGGUGCAUCAUCGACCGAUCCUGAUGUAUUCGGAAGGAUUUGAGUAAGAGCAUAACUGUUCGGACCCGAAAGAUGGUGAACUAUGCGUGGAUAGGGUGAAGCCAGAGGAAACUCUGGUGGAGGCUCGCAGCGGUUCUGACG
rnacentral:rRNA from 1 species